AUACUAUUCUCAGAAUGAAAUGUACACAUUCGUUCGAGGUUCGAGGAGCAAUACUUUAGUUAACGUUAGCAAGAUCUCGGUCAUUUACGGGAUCCCAUUAGCAGUGACUAAACACAAAGACGAUGACACAGCUGGCAGACUCUAUUCUACACAGCGGUUACUUUCACCCCACUCUGUGAUACUGGCAGACCUCUGCUUCAGACCUUAUACCAGAUAACCUCAUAUAUCCUAUCUUCAUUACUGACAGUCCUGAUGCAGUGGAACCAAUUGCAAGUCUACCUGGUCAAGCGAGUUAUGGUGUAAAUAAGAUAGAGGGUUUACUUCGUCUCCUUGUAGACAAAGGUCUGAAGUGUGUGCUGAUUUUUGGAGUUCCUGCUAAAGUUGCGAAGG